rnacentral:rRNA from 1 species
AGCGAACGCUGGCGGCAGGCUUAACACAUGCAAGUCGAGCGGGCGUAGCAAUACGUCAGCGGCAGACGGGUGAGUAACGCGUGGGAACAUACCUCUUGGUUCGGAACAACACAGGGAAACUUGUGCUAAUACCGGAUAAGCCCUUACGGGAAAGAUUUAUCGCCGAAAGAUCGGCCCGCGUCUGAUUAGCUAGUUGGUGAGGUAACGGCUCACCAAGGCGACGAUCAGUAGCNGGUCUGAGAGGAUGAUCAGCCACAUUGGGACUGAGACACGGCCCAAACUCCUACGGGAGGCAGCAGUGGGGAAUAUUGGACAAUGGGCGCAAGCCUGAUCCAGCCAUGCCGCGUGAGUGAUGAAGGCCCUAGGGUUGUAAAGCUCUUUUGUGCGGGAAGAUAAUGACGGUACCGCAAGAUAAGCCCCGGCUAACUUCGUGCCAGCCGCCGCCGUAAU